GCCUCGUUAGCGCAGUAGGCAGCGCGUCAGUCUCAUAAUCUAAAGGUCGUGAGUUCGAUUCCCACAUGAGGCA
rnacentral:tRNA from 1 species